UACGAAGGGGGCUAGCGUUGCUCGGAAUUACUGGGCGUAAAGGGCGCGUAGGCGGAUAGUUUAGUCAGAGGUGAAAGCCCAGGGCUCAACCUUGGAAUUGCCUUUGAUACUGGCUAUCUUGAGUUCGGGAGAGGUGAGUGGAAUGCCGAGUGUAGAGGUGAAAUUCGUAGAUAUUGGGAAGAACACCGGUGGCGAAGGCGGCUCACUGGCUCGUAACUGACGCUCAUGCACGACAGCGUGGGGAUCAAACAGG
rnacentral:rRNA from 1 species